rnacentral:rRNA from 1 species
UACAGAGGGUGCAAGCGUUGUUCGGAAUCAUUGGGCGUAAAGGGCGUGUAGGCGGUUUGUUAAGUCAUGUGUGAAAUCCCUCGGCUCAACCGGGGAACGACGCAUGAAACUGACAAGCUAGAGUACCAAAGAGGGGGGUGGAAUUCCCGGUGUAGCGGUGAAAUGCGUAGAGAUCCGGAGGAACACCAGAGGCGAAGGCGGCCCACUGGGCUGCAUCUGACGCUGAGCCGCGACAGCCAGGGGAGCGAACGGG